AAUACAAAUGUAAGAAGAAGAAGAAGAAGACAGAGCUGCUUUUUCAUCCACAGCGAGUAAAUAGUGAACCUCCAGGAGAGAAACAAACUAAAGUAUCGAUCAUAUACCACUACCAACGUUUGGAUCGAUAUCUGCAUCGAUCUGCACACCCUUGUCUCCUGGAUCGUAGCUGAGAUCAGCGUGAACCACGUGGGUCUCUGCUCCCUGACCUGUUUCCUGUUUGGAAAGAGUUCCAGCUUCAUCACGGAGUUUCUCUCGGUUUGUGGGCUCAUCUAAAGGACCAACGUGGAUCGAGAAGUCCGCGCUCUCAGGAGGCCGACAAUUUCGUUGAAGAAAGAAGUGGAAGAAAAAAAUGCAACCGUGAUGAGUUUGGGAAAGAUUUUACUGUGAAAGCUUCCCUAAAAAUGCAUCAGGUCAUCGACACCGGAGAGAGACCAUUCAGCUGUGGAGACUGUGGAAAGUCUUUUACCAGGUCUGGAAGCUUAAAAAAACACCAACUCAUCCACAGUGGAGAGACACCGUUCAGCUGUGGAGACUGUGGAAAGUCUUUUACCACGUCUGGAAGCUUAAAAAGACACCAACUAAUCCACACUGGUGAGAGACCGUUCAGCUGUGGAGACUGUGGAAAGUCUUUUAUCCACUCUGGACACUUAAAAAGACACCAACUCAUCCACACUGGAGAGAGACCAUUCAGCUGUGGAGACUGUGGAAAGUCUUUUACCACGUCUGGACACUUAAAAAGACACCAACUCAUCCACACUGGAGAGAGACCGUUCAGCUGUGACGAGUGUGGAAAGUCUUUUACCACGUCUGGAAACUUAAAAUCACACCAACUCAUCCACAGUGGAGUUAAAGCGUACACCUGUGAUCAGUGUGGCAGAGCUUUUACUCAAGGUAACAACUUACAGAGUCAUCUAGUUACCCACUCUGGAAUUAAGGCGUACAGCUGUGACAUUUGUGGAAAAACUUUCAGCCGGAUAGACAGCCGUAACAUUCACCUACGCAUUCACACCAGACAUGAUGUGUACAGCUGUGAUCAGUGUGGUAAACAGUUUACUACAAACACAGAGUUACGACGUCACAUGUUUACCCACACUGAGGAACGACCUUAUAAAUGUGACCUUUGUGAGAAGACUUUUAAAUCUCCACAUUACCUGAAAGCACACCAACAGAUCCACACCAGAAAGACUCUACAAGUGCAGUUACUGUGAGAAGCAGAGCGACACAGAUGGAUCAAGUUCCCAACCCUGUCAUCGCUGUGGGAAAGACUUUUGUUGUGACCUUUGUGGAAAGACUUUAAGUCAUUGAAGGACUCUGAAAAUACAUCAACGUAGACACACUGGAGACAAAAUGAACUACUGUAAAGAAUGCGGGAGAGGCUUCACCACUUCAAAGGACUUCAAACAAUAUGAACUCCUUCACAGUGGCGUUAAAAAGCAUGUCUGCGAUCAGUGUGGGUCAUCCUUCAUCAGUGCACGUCAGCUUGAAAAGCAUAAACGAGUCCACACAUGAGAGAAACCAUACAAGUGCAGACACUGUGACAAAACCUUUUCACAAUCAUGUGAUCACAGUAAGCAUGAACGCAGACACAUGAAAGAGAACUUCAUCUGUGAAAGAGUUUGAGUAAUCUCAGUUCAUAGUCCACUCAGAAACGAUUCCAUGUUACAAAUAAACUGUUACGUCUUGAUUCCCGCUUUUACGUUAAUCUUGUAAACAGUACAUUUGCAUAACGACUGAAACCGGCCCAAUGAAUGAACAAUGGGCUGUGAGGUCAAUUUCUUCAUCAUUAAUAUGCAAAUUCUUAUGAGCAUUGAUCAACAACCACUGGUCAAUGGCCAUGAGUACCAUUCACAGAGUAAAAAUUUGCAUAAUGAUUAUGAAGUUUACUGUUACCAAUGUUCAAAAACAUUUACUAAAUUAUCUUCUCUGUGCAAACAUCAGCGUGAUGCAGGACUGACAUCAUUGCCAUCUCUGGAUCACAGUGAAUCUGCAGAGACAGAAAGAUCCUCUUCUGGUUUCAGGGUCAGACUUAAACCCUUGAGAUCAGGCUCCACAGAGUUCAGGUGGAGUCUUCUGUAAAGAUCUGAUGAGGCAGCUAUGAAUGAAAAUGUGCCUCUUGUUACAUUUUAAGCUUUCUAAACUGUUCUACUGUAGUGUUUGUGUUGAGC